rnacentral:lncRNA from 1 species
GCCGGAAUCUGCAUCUGGCUAUAUGGUUCGGUGCUGGUGGUGUCGCUAUAGAGAGCUGCUGCUGCUGCUCUCAGGUUUUACACAUAAUUGGGGUUGAGGGGAAAGUUACCUACCUGGAUUUCCCCAAGGGACGUCUGUGAAAAACUUUUGGGGGUUUUGCUCUGCGAGAACCCAGUACGGACACGCUAACUGUGCGUCCUUCCAUGUCCUCUGCUCCUCCCCAGAUGUUCUCUUCCGAUGGGCUUUUGGUGUAGGAUGUUGGAGAACCAAGAGCUGGAGGUAAGCAGGGUCUCCAGGUGGGUCAGAGUCGGAGGGCCACUUAGGGGGAGGGGACACAGAUGGCAGAGCAUCGUCUGCGGUGCUUUUUCCCUGUUAAUACUCUUGGUGUUUCAAAUUAAAGCCAGGAG